rnacentral:rRNA from 1 species
UACGAAGGGGGCUAGCGUUGUUCGGAAUCACUGGGCGUAAAGCGCACGCAGGCGGAUUGAUAAGUCAGGGGUGAAAUCCCGGGCUCAACCUCGGAAUUGCCUUUGAUACUGUCUAUCUCGAGUUCGGGAGAGGUUGGCGGAAUUCCUAGUGUAGAGGUGAAAUUCGUAGAUAUUAGGAAGAACACCAGUGGCGAAGGCGGCCAACUGGCCCGAUACUGACGCUCAUGUGCGAAAGCGUGGGGAGCAAACAGGA